UACGUAGGGUGCAAGCGUUGUCCGGAAUUAUUGGGCGUAAAGAGCUCGUAGGCGGCUUGUCGCGUCGGCUGUGAAAACCCGGGGCUCAACCCCGGGCCUGCAGUCGAUACGGGCAGGCUAGAGUCCGGCAGGGGAGACUGGAAUUCCUGGUGUAGCGGUGAAAUGCGCAGAUAUCAGGAGGAACACCGGUGGCGAAGGCGGGUCUCUGGGCCGGAACUGACGCUAAGGAGCGAAAGCGUGGGGAGCGAACAGG
rnacentral:rRNA from 1 species